rnacentral:rRNA from 1 species
UACGGAGGAUGCAAGCGUUAUCCGGAUUCAUUGGGUUUAAAGGGUGCGUAGGCGGCCUUUUAAGUCAGUGGUGAAAUCCUGCCGCUUAACGGUAGAAUUGCCAUUGAUACUGAAAGGCUUGAGUCCAGUUGAGGUAAGCGGAAUGUGUAGUGUAGCGGUGAAAUGCUUAGAUAUUACACAGAACACCAAUUGCGAAGGCAGCUUACUAAACUGUAACUGACGCUGAUGCACGAAAGCGUGGGGAGCGAACAGG